CCGUCUCUCAAAAUAAAUAUUUUUAAAAGAUAAAUGAUGACCACUGGGAUGAGUCACCAAUAGUUUCAAGGAGAAUGACUUCUGAAGUGUCUGUUGACUGACAGAGCACUCAAAGGAAGUAGCAUUUGCAGGGGCAAGGUGGUCUACAGGAAGGAGUGGACUGAGGACUAGGAUGACAGCUGCAUGAGUAAACUUUGGCCGGACUGCAAAGGAAUUUGGAAAGUGUACUGAAAGAAUGGGUGACAUCAGUAAGACUCGUGGCCAGUUGGAUGUGGAGGUGAAGGGACACACAAAAAGGGCUCUGCUUUGCACAACUCAGUGGCUGGAGGCAGGCUGCGAGGACGAGUUUGGUCUUAGACAUGCUAAAUUAGAGGUGUCUGUCAGCCACCAGGAAGGGAUACUACGAGGCACAAAAAGUAGGUAAGAUGGAAACUGAAAGGUAACUGGUGUUCACAAGAUUGUAUUACUGCUAGCAGGUGUUUAAAUAGUUCAAAUUUGCUUGAGUAAUGUGGAAAAGUAAUUUCUCUGGAAUCCCUUAUCUCCUAAAGAGUGGAUACAGGAACACAUGUCUUUAGGAGGUUUUUAAUCUAGCUCACCUACAUGGUAUGUGCUGAUCUAGUUCAGAAUUAAUUUACUCUUUUCUUGUGUGGGCCUGCGAACUACAUUUGAUUAAUUUCAGAGGUGACAUAUUCAGCAUGAGGCAUAAAAUAAAAGUCACUGAGUAAGACAAUAUAUCCCCAAACUGAAUCUAGACAAAAGAAUCAAACAGUUCUUUUUAAAUGACGUACCAAGUUCCUGUUUUUUCUCUUUCCCUCAUCCCUUACCCAUGAAAUGUCAGUUUAGUUCCAUUACCAACUUGAGUACAAAAUAACAGCAAAAUCAUAGACCUGGGCAGCAACAUUAGAAUUCAGGCUGAAUUCAUAGCAGCUGGCAGACCCCAAAGGUAUUUGAAAAGCCAAUACAGAUUAGUGGGGAAAAAAAUCUCUAGAAGCAGCCUUAAUUUUAUACUAUAACUGCAUACCCUAAAUUUUCAUAGACCUGUAACGGCUGCCCAGUUACUUUGAAACAGUCAUUAUUUCCUAAAACAAACUCCAGAAAACUCUUUGGAAGCAGCCAUUAAUAUGGCUUUCUUCAAAUAAGAGAGAACCAUGAUUUGAGGUACAGGUGUUGACCUAAACUGGAAGUCUGUGGUCACUUCAUAUUGCAGAAAAAAUUGAAAGACUUAACCAUAAGCUUUACUUUCAAAUUGAUUAGUAUCUAUGCUUCCAGAGUGGCUGCUGAUUUAAUGAAUGUAACGGAUGCACUGAGGAUUUGCUGACGAAAGGAGCUACCUUGGAAAUAAAACAGAAAUGAAGAUAUCUAAUUGGUGCCACAUUAGCUAAAGGUCAACAGACCUAUUUGUAUGCAUGCUCAAUCAGAGGAACGGUUACAUUUCAUCUACCCAGCUGGAAAAAGCAAAUAUUUGAAGGAAGGAAAAAGGGAAGUGUACGUAUUUAUAAUGAAGUCAUACUCAAAUGCCUGGGCCCGACUUGAGGUGGUAAGUUACUCUGUUAUUACUUGGAUGAUGCAGGGCCCAGGUAGGGCUGUGACUGAGAAAGGCAGCUUUAGGUUACCUGUGUGGCUUCAAGGAUAAAGUCAUGGAUGAUAAUUUGUUCUUCAUUUGAGAGGCACAGUCUGUCUUUGCUGAUAAGGGUGACGGUAAAGGCCUCACAGUUCAUGGAUUCUUCUCGACUUGGCCAGUAUACAAACUCAUCUUCUGCCUGUGGGAACCGCCCCCAAAGAAAAAAUUCCUCUGCAGUGCUGUCAAACAUUUGUUUUUGAAUUUUCUUGCAAAUUGAUGUAUCCUGUCUGUCAUUUCCCAUACCUCCCGAGUCACCUUUUAACUUGGGCACAUAGAAUUACAUCCCCCUCUAAUCAUCCCAAGUUCAGUGGUCACUGUAAAUUGUAAUUGAUAAUAACCGUAUUCUAGACUUGCCUCCCUACAUCACUGUAACAACCAAAAAUGCUCCCCCUAGAGGGGACAUAUUAAAAUUAAUCGACUUGGAUCCUGUCUUGUUUACUAUGAUGUAUUAUUACAGAAUAUCUCUCAACUGGGGCUAAUAUAUUAUUUCACAAUUGCUUAAGCAACGAAGACAUCCUAGUUGUUACUUCCUGUGGCUUAACAUUUCUACAGUUGAUUAGCAUUUUGCAUAGGGAUUUCAUAAACGUGGUCUUAAUUUUUACAAUAUACUAGGGAGGUGAGGGAUUUUUAUCAUCUGUCUUUACAGACGAGGACAUCAAGACUCAGAGAAGCCUGUAAGUUGUCUCAAAUCACACUUGCUACUAAAUGGUAAGCAACAGAACCUGUCUGGAAAGAGGCUGUGCAUAAAUAAGCUUAUGUUGGUUCUAAGUACAAAGUGCCUUUUCAAAGAAAAGUUAAUCUAACCAUGUUAGGUGUCAAAAGGAGAUUAACACAGAAAAAGGCUUUCAGCCUUGAGUCAGGCAAGCUUUAAAUGUUCAUCUAUUUUAGCAUUAAAAAUAAAUAUUCAGGCUCUUUACUUGAAUUCCAUCCCUGAAAACUGCAGAGGCCGAAGAAAAAGUGAAGAGAUGUAGAGGUGGGAGUCUUUGUGAGAAAUACAACGAUUAGGGUAAGACCCCUGACCCCCCCAUCCCUCUUUUUCUCAUCAGUCCAAAUGGCAAACUCUGCUUUGCCUGGAAUAGCUACACUUCCAUGGGCAUUUGCCUGAAAAUGCUUAGAUACUACUAGUGAAGUCAGAAAUAAUUCUGAAUAAUGUUCAAAACAAAGAAGGUUUUGUUUAAUCUUACAUUGUUGCAUCAGAAAUGAGCCAACAGUCCAAUAAGACUUAUCACCCUUUCAAGUUUCAAUAUAGCUUAUUGCCAAGUACAUUUUUAUUUUUAAAGCUCAGCAUAAGGGGAAACAGAUUAGCAAUUGGGUUUAGGCUAUACAAAAGACAGUCUGUAACUGUCAGGGGUUUUAAUACAUUUUGUCCAAGGAAAUGGAAGUUAAGACCCUUCUAACAGAUACUAAAGAUGUAAGGUAAUAAUGGACAAGGCCUAUAAAUUUAACCAGUGCGCAGAGAUUAAACACGGGAUUUAGGAUUGAAUAAAUUAAUCUGGGCCUUAAUUUCCAUAUCUGAAAAGUGGGAAUAACAUUAUGUACCUGUAAGACAUUAACUUGAAUAGUAAAUUAUCAAAUUGGCCUAAUGACUGCCAAGGGGAUUUUAAUAAGCAAACACACACACACACACCAAAACAUCUGACUACAGAAAGCAAAUUAGGGAGAAACUGAUCAUCUUCAAAUGCUCUGAAAAAUACAUGCUACUUCUUAAUUCAGUAGGACCUCUGGUCUCAUGGUUAUUUUGCUUACAAAUACAUUUGUAGAUCAAAGAUGCCUAGGCAUAUCUAGAACAGUGCAUUCUGACCUAGGAACCCGUGACUUUGGGCUAGUCACAGAAUCAUGGUCUUGUAAAAUUAUAGCAGUAAGAAAUAAAGCAAACAAAGAGAAUCGGCAGACAUUUUUUAGGGAAAAAUGUGCACUGACUUUCGACCCCAGAGCUGAGAAGGCAGACAUUCAGGAUUCUAGCCCGGUCUCCCUCAGCCCGAGGUGACCUGUUCCAGGGCAGUCCUGUGUCCUCACUGUCUGCAUAACACGCGUGGACUCUGUUGGUCCAGCCUCCCCAUACAAACGAGCCUGUGGGUAGAGGCUUUUGGUGACUGUCCUGUGAUCAGUGACAAUACCAAAACACUGACUCAUCCAACAAAUGAACGUUUUAACAACCCUAAAUGCCUCCAAUUUCCACACGCCAAACAGAAUAGACCCCUAUUGCCAGCUAAUUUGAAAAUUUACACUCCAGUUUUGAGUUGAAGAUUCUCAAUUUUGUUGCCAUUCUCUCCUACAGAAGCAGUCUUGGUAUUCUGAAACUGGAGCAAAAUGCGACAAAGUGAACUUCCUACUGACUGGGCACGCAGUCAAAUGCAUGUCGUCAAGACUAGGGGUUCAAUCACAGGCUGUUCUUUCUCGAUGAAAAAAUUCACUGAUCUGAUACUUGUCGAAGCAGCUCCUCAUUGUUUCUUAUUUCCGUUUUUGUUUUGUGGGCUUACGUGUCCUCAUAACUUCUGAAGACCCAACGAAGUCUGCCAUUAAGUUUAUUUCGCUAAACUUGUUAACUCUUCUUUUAUAUGGUCUUAGGGACCACAGCAGGGAAGGACUAACAAGAGGAGAAAAGGGCUGUAGCUCAGCCAAGGUCCUAGAAGCACCUUUAAACUGGAACAAAAUAGCCUUUCUGUAUCUCCUUCCCUGUAAUGGAUCUGCCUUGCCUAAGGUAUGGGGGAAAGAUAAUGAUAAUUAGUACUUUAGAUACGAAUUUUUGGGGGAAGGACUGGGAAAACUUUGCUAUGAUAUUUGUCCCACGCCACAUCAUAGAAAAGGAUUAAAAGGUCACUCCGGUUUAAAUCCUGCCUCCAAUUAUUCAUGUAUGCCCUUUAGGCAAGUUACUUCCCUCGAUUUUCUUCGCUGUUAAAUGAGAUGAUAAUAGUAUCUAUGUCAUAAAGUGGUAGAGAGGACUAAACAAGUUAGUACGUGUAAACACAGUUACAUAGUUAGAUGCUAUUUUAUUUUUCCCAAGGGACAUAUAGCAGCUCAGAGGUUAAGAUCCUAUAUUAAUGACGUUACUAAAAAAAAAAAAAAAAAAAAAGGCUUUACAAAACCUUCCAUGGCCCUGCCAUGUACAGCAUUAGAGAAUCAAGUAAUGGAACCGAUGGCGACACUUAACUGUGAGACUACAAAAGGAACUUGCUCCAACUUCAAGAAGCGAAGUCUCAAUACCCUCCCUAGCACAUACAGACAGUGUAGCCCUGUGCUAAGGUAUCAAAAUGAUUUAUGCUUCUGGCCUCACAGGCUCAUUAAUAUAUAGCAGAUGUGCUUUGCUUACCAAGCUCUGGUUGUCUGGCAGCAUGACAAUGAUCUGUGCAUUAUGAUCCCAAAUCAUUCGCCAGAAAUCUUUCGUAGUAUGUGGCAGAGGAUGCUGGGUUAUAAUAAAUUCAUUGCUCCUAUAAUAGCCCUUCAGUUAGGAAGACGGAAAAUCAGCAGUUACAAACAUUUUAUUCUGACGCCGGGGUAAGUAAAAUAUGUUCACGAAAUAAGACGGCAUUGUUUUGACCACACGAAAACAAUUGAAAAAGGCAGUCAGUACAUUUGGCUAAUUUUUAGCUGUAUAUGCUAACAUGUGUAGAUAUUUUUCGCUCCACAUAAAUUUCCUCCUAGUUACCCCUGCUGUUUUUACUUAACGGCAAUUUCAACAUUUAUUCAAACGCUAGAUGGGUGAAAUUAACAAUAAAAUAAUUCCUUAAUGAACACUUCUCUUAAAGUAUUUUUGUACUCCCACUGGCUAGGAGUCUUUUGUUAGAGGUCUCCGGAUACAGAAAGCUAAUUUUGAUAUUACACAUCGAGAAAUCAUUUGAAAAGUGAAAUCAGCCACAUAGGUGGUAUCUGCUCUUUAGCACCUUUUAGUUUAAUUGAAUUUAUUUAUAAUUAACUGUUGACUCUCACCAUGAUAUAAGAAGCAUUAAUGUAAUCUGUUCCUUUCAUUCCAGGCAAUGGUGCAAGACCCACUCGAGCACGCUCGGCUAUGGUAUGGAAACAAAACAAAAACGCCACGUUUGCCUUAUUAUACACACAGAACGCAUAGUGCUUUCUGAGAUUCACUCGGUGCAUCACCUAUUCCCCUGGAUCCCCUUUCAGGUUAAAACUUACCUAUAUUUUUAACUAAGCUCAAGUGUUCUCCGCUAAGGAGAAUGUCAGUGGAAUUUUGCUGCACAGUCCCAGGAGGGCAGAGGCAACGUAGGAAUCAAAUUUUACUGUGGGAGAGGUUUUCACAGCAGAGCAUGAAAAGAACACUCUGUGCAGAGAUGACAGGAUUUCAGUUCUCAAGUGAUUAGUGCUUACGAAAGAACCAAUGACUUGGUUUCCAAUGGAAUGGGAAGAUUUCUUGGAUGAAUUUUUUUAAAGUAGGUGGAAACAAAUAUUGCAGGAAUAGAAAAGCAUGCUGUCUAUUACAAUGUAGGUGCCUGUCCUGCCCACACCAGCGCUAGAAGAAAUGAGGACACCCAACUAGGACGGUCAUUCGUUUAACAGUAACCUGGAAAAGUUACCAUCUAAAUACUGAGGUCUCCAUUUUCUGACUUCAUGCCCCAACUCCAGAAGGCUUUGGUCCUUUGCUUUCAUCUGACAGUGGGCCCGGAUUCCCAUCCUUUCUCCGCUGUCCACGUUGAACCUUCAGGAACCUAAGUGCUGGUCCUUGCUUUACAUUCUUCACCAGCUGUGGGGAAGAUCCUAAGUGCCAAAUGAUGGUCAGUCUCCAGAGUCAAAGCAAUAAUAAAUUUAUCUGUCACUUUCAUAAAUGAAUUUUUCAGAGUAGUUUUCCUUGAAGUGGCUCAGCUUUUUAAACUACUUUUUGUUUUCGUUUUAACUACUUGGAUGAAAAAUUUCCCCAAGUGGGUAACUAGCUGUUACAUGUUUUUUUCUUACCACAAAUACCUCUGAAAAGUUCACUUUUUUUUUUUUUUUAAUGACUCGGGCUCAUUACUCAACACUGGAGCAUGUUAGGUGUUCGGCCCUGUACUACCUGUACUACCAAGGCCUGAUGACUUUCAUUUCUGAAAUCCUCUGUUAACUCUCAUUUUCCUAUUUCUUUCUUAUUUUUAGUUACUACUUUUUCCUCUUGCACAAGACUCCUAACAUUCCCAUUUGACUUCCUCCUCCCUCUAGGCUGCUUCCAAAAUAAGAAUAAGUGGGCGGUGCUUAAAUACCUGAAGGGUUCCCAUGGGCUUUUUACAAAUGGGCUUUGUAACAGCUCUAUCAGAACACAGAUAAAUACAAUGCUACUUGAUUAUCAUAUGCUUCUGCCAUUCUGGGAAAAAACUACAUGUACAAAGGACUGUUAACCUUGGAGCACAGAUAGGUUUCAGAGCCAAUGACAUUGUAUAUAAAAGCUUGAAUAAAGGUGAAUUCUUCUGGGGGCAGGAAGGCUGGAGUUUUAACACCUUCUCAAAGAUGUGCAAGACUAAAAACAACAACAACAAAACACCACAUUAUACCCAUUGCUACAAACAACAGCCAUUCCUAAGUCUCUGUAGAGCAACUGUACAUUUUCUUAAUGAACAUCUACCUAGAGUUCCUAGUAAUGUUGCAGUGGUCUAGGAGUCUUGGUGCAACAGCAGCUUUUGAACAAGAGAGAACUUGAAAGCAUUUUCCACAGGGUGUGAAUCUCAGGAUGUUAACAGUUACACAGACAAGGGUUGUAUUAAGGCACUUUAGGAAGCACUAGGCAAAAUAAAGUUGAAGAGGUUUCUUCACUAGCACUUUGGUCACUUGCGUGCCCUGUUCAUUUCUAACGGAGAAUAUUUAUUACCUAGCAUUCAUUUUCCAUACCUAUUAAACAGCAGAAUCUGAUUUUUGCAAGCAUCUUGCAGGGUUAGCAUUCCUUGGAGCACACUUUGGGAAAUAAUGCUUUAAAACUGUCAGAAAAUUGCUAUUAAAAAGCUCAGUCAAGCAGAUGCUGCUAUAGUUGCUGGUCACCAAAACCGAAGAGGACCUUUUUAAAAAAAACAAAACAAAACAAAACAAAAAGCGAAGCCUUCACUGGGAGAUUACGGCAUUUAAUCAGGCCAGUUAAAUUCUAUUAUGUGCUUUGCCAGUAUCUUUCACAGCAUACAUUGAUGUCAAUCAAACGAGUUGUGAAAAAACGUUUUUUAGAAAUACUUUUUUAAAGCCAAGUUGGUUAUGAGAAUUGGCCUUGGUUGUGCCGUUUUUCGUACAAGUUUAAAGAGAGAUGCCCUGGCAGCCCACCCGAUUCCUUCAGUACCUUCUU